GUAUAGUCAGGGCUUCCCAAAUGCGCGCCCCCGACCUGAUGCCAAGCGCGCCCCCUUCAUUCGUUCCCCUUCUUGAAGCUCAUUUUCAUGACGUGGAAAAGCCUGAUCCAGGGCAACAACAGCACCGCACACAUACACGCAGGCACACACACAAGCACACGCACCCGCACCCGCGGAGGAGGCGAGCAGCCCGUGGUCCUCCGCCGCGCCCCAGCCCGCCCGCUCCGCGCUGCUGGGGCCCGGGGAAGGCGGCGGCGGAGCCUGCAGCAGCCCCCGUCCUCCCUCCUCCAUUGAGUGUGCCAAACAGCAGCUCUGCAUCCUAAAGAAGAUCAUUGAGGGGCUCAUUGCAUUCCCAGCACGUUUCAGGCUUGCUUCUUCUUUUUUUUUUUCCCCCUUUUUUUUUUUCCUUUUGCCUCAGCUUCAGCGGGAGUAGAGAGAGGGAGAGAGACACAGAAAGGGAGAGACAGAGAGAAAUCAGCAAUCUUUAAACUCGAGCUUUUUUUUCCCCCUUCCACUCUUUUUUUUUUUUUUUUUCCCUAACGAUGUGCUAAAAUCUCUCCUGCAAACCGUUUUGCAAACAUCAACAAAUGAUGAAACCUUCCACAGCAGAAACACUUCAUAAAGGAAGGAUGUUGUGGAUAGUUCUUCUAAGCACAAUUGCUCUAGCAUGGACUACACCAAUUCCCUUGAUAGAGGACUCGGAGGAACUCGAUGAGCCCUGCUUUGAUCCAUGUUACUGUGAAGUGAAGGAGAGCCUUUUCCAUAUACAUUGCGACAACAAAGGAUUUAUAAAUAUUAGUCAGAUAACACAGUCGUGGUCGAGACCUUUUAAACUUUAUUUGCAGAGGAAUUCCAUGAGGAAAUUGUACACCAACAGUUUUCUUCACUUGAACAAUGCUGUGUCUAUUAACCUUGGGAACAAUGCACUGCAGGACAUUCAGACGGGGGCUUUUAAUGGGCUCCGAGUUCUGAAGAGGUUGUAUUUGCAUGAAAACAAAUUGGACAUUUUCAGAAAUGACACUUUCCUGGGUUUGGAAAGUCUGGAAUAUCUGCAGGCAGAUUAUAAUGUCAUUAAACGGAUUGAAAGUGGGGCAUUUCGAAAUCUAAGUAAAUUGAGGGUCCUCAUCCUAAAUGACAAUCUUAUCCCCAUGCUUCCCACCAACUUAUUUAAGUCUGUGUCCUUAACCCACUUGGACUUGCGUGGGAACCGGCUAAAAGUCCUUUCAUACCGUGGGAUGUUGGACCACAUUGGCAGGACCCUGAUGGAGAUCCAGCUGGAGGAGAACCCGUGGAACUGUACGUGCGAGAUCGUGCAGCUGAAGAGCUGGCUGGAGCGCAUCCCCUAUACCGCUCUGGUGGGGGACAUCACCUGUGAGACCCCCUUCCACUUCCAUGGUAAGGACCUGCGGGAAAUCAAAAGAAGUAAGCUCUGUCCCAUGCUGUCUGACUCCGAGGUGGAAGCCAGCCUAGGCAUCCCUCAGCUGUCGUCCAGCAAGGAGAAUGCGUGGCCUACGAAGCCUUCCUCCAUGCUGUCCUCCUUCCAUUUCACUGCUUCCUCUGUUGAGUACAAAACAUCCAACAAGCAGCCCAAACCCACCAAGCAGCCCAGGGCGCCCCGGCCUCCCCCGACAUCCCGCGGCCUAUACCCUGGGCCAAACCAGCCGCCAGUGGCUGCCUACCAGACCCGGCCCCCCAUCCCCAUCAUCUGCCCGACUGGCUGCUCUUGCAGUUUGCACAUCAAUGACCUGGGCCUGACAGUCAACUGCAAGGAGCGAGGGUUUCACAACAUCUCCGAGCUCCUGCCCAGGCCCUUGAACGCCAAGAAGCUGUACCUGAGCGGGAAUUUGAUCCAGAAAAUCUACCGCUCUGAUUUCUGGAAUUUUUCUUCCUUGGAUCUCUUGCACCUGGGGAACAACCGGAUCUCCUACGUGCAGGAUGGGGCUUUUAUCAACCUGCCGAAUCUCAAGAGCCUGUACCUGAAUGGCAAUGACAUCGAGCGGCUCACCCCGGGCAUGUUCCGGGGCCUGCAGAGUUUGCAUUACCUGUACUUCGAGUACAACCUGAUCAGGGAAAUCCAGCCGGCAGCCUUCAGCCUCAUGCCCAACCUGAAGCUCCUCUUCCUCAACGAUAACCUGCUCCGCACCCUGCCCACUGACACCUUCGCUGGCACUUCCCUGGCACGCCUCAACCUGCGCAACAACCACUUCUUGGCGCUGCCGGUGGCCGGGGUGCUGGAGCACCUCCACGCCAUCGUCCAGAUCGACCUGAAGCUCAACCCCUGGGACUGCACCUGCGAGCUGGUGCCGCUGAAGCAGUGGCUGGAGGCGCUCAGCUCCGUCAGCGUGGUGGGCGAGGUGCUGUGCGCCAGCCCCGAGGCCCUGGCCCGCCGCGACCUGCGCUCCCUGGAGCUGGCCGCGCUCUGCCCGGCCGCUCUCCGCCCUGCCGCCGUCUCGCCCCCCGCAGCCCCGCCGCCGCCCGCCGCCACCGGCGCCGCCGCCUAUGAGCUGCCGCCGGCCGCCGCCGCUGUCCCGCUCUCCGUCCUCAUCCUCAGCCUCCUUGUUCUCUUCUUCUCCGCCGUGCUGGUGGCCGCCGGGCUCUUCGCCUUCGUGCUGCGCCGCCGCCGGCGGAAGCUGCCGUUCCGCGGCCCCCGGCCGGAGGCGGCAGACCUGGGCGGUGUGCCGCUGCGCUGCCCGCGGCUCUUCGACGAGGGCGGCGGUGGUGGCGGCGGCGGCAGCGGGGGGGGCAGGGAGCGUUCCCCGGAGAAGGCGCCCCCGGCGGGCCACGUUUACGACUACAUCCCACACCCGGUGACCCAGAUGUGCAACAACCCCAUCUACAAGCCGCGGGAGGAGGAGGAGGAGGUGGCGGGCGGCGGUGGCGGGGAGGCAGCAGAGCUGCUGCGGGGCGGCGGGGAGCGCUUUACCGCCGCCGCGCAGGAGCCGGGCACCAAUUACCGCACCUUGCUGGAGAAGGAGCAGGAGUGGAGCCUGGCCGUCUCCAGCUCGCAGCUCAACACCAUCGUUUCUGUGCACCCCCAGCACCCCGCGGGCGGCGGGCUGGCGGCGGGCGGCGGCGGGCUCGGAGCGGCGGCGGCGGCGGGAGGAGGCGCCCCGCGGGACCGCGACCGCCCGCCGCCCCUCGCCGUGGGCUUCGUGGACUGCCUGUACGGCACCGUGCCCAAGCUGAAGGAAUUGCACGUCCACCCCCCUGGCAUGCAAUACCCAGACCUCCAGCAGGACGCCAGGCUCAAAGAAACCCUCCUCUUCGCGGCCGGCAAGGGCUUCCCAGACCACCAAACUUCCACAAGCGAAUACCUCGAGUUAAGGGCCAAACUCCAAACCAAGCCGGAUUACCUCGAAGUCCUGGAGAAGACCACGUACCGGUUCUGACCGCCACCCGCCCCGGCACCGCCGCAGGCGAGUCGAGGAUACAGCUGUGUGCUCUUCCCCGCCAGAUGUGCGCUCUGCGGGGACGGGCCGUUCUCAGAUCAUUAAUCGAUGAAGUGCCUUCGCAGACUGUUGCCAGCAGAUGUUAAUCAAUCAUUAUUUUUUAUACUGAAACUGAGACUUUGACUGUGCCAUGUCUAAGUGACCCAAAAACCUGGCUGCUUUGGAAAGUGGAUAGUAUUGGCAAGCAAAGAAAUAUGGCAAGUAAAGCUAUUUUUUAGAUCCAGUUUAUGUUAGUGGUUUUUUUUUUCAAAGAAAGGGAAGUCAUAGCUGUUGGCUCCUUGUUCUGCAGCCCUCUCUGAGAAUAAGUAAAGGCACUGAUUUAAGGCAAAGAGUCAGUUGUUGUUCAAUCUGAUUAUUUUUCCCCUUUGGUUUUAAACUAACAAAGACAAGAAUGUGGAUAUAUCUAAUUUAUAUAUAUAAAUGUAUAUAUAUGCUCUUCCUGUGAGCAAUGAGGGGCCAUGAUACUACAGCCAGCGAUGCUGAUGGAAGGAUUAGCAUUGGCAUCGCUGGGAGAUGGGUUAAGUUGUGACAAGUGGGAACUGUGCCAAGGCUAAUGAUGUGAACGGCACCUGAAAGUCAGGUGUCUUGCUGGGUUAGGGAGAGUCAAUAACAACAUGCAAUUCUUGUUGAAGCCCCUUGUUUUUAGAGCAGCUAAACGAGUAUCUCACACUAUACUAUUUUCCCUGCUUUUGGCCCAAGCUCUCAACCAGCCUCCAAAUUGUUGGCAUUCUCAGCCUUGCUUUUACCUAUCUGCGUGCACAGAUACUCAUUUGGCUGACAAGUUGCAACACCUUGGUUUGCACAUUGACCAUGUGCAUGAAAUGGAGACCAAUUGAAAAUAUGGUUAUCUUUGUUGGGUUUUUCUAUAGAGUGGUGUUUUGCACCUCAAGACUUCAUUCUGUAAGAUGUAUCGACUGGAUUGCCUACCUGUAACUCAGCUUUGUAAGCAGCCUCCUGAGGUUAGCCGUGGUGGUAUUACAUGCCUUGUGCUUUGCCAGCCCCUACAAGCCAGCCAAAGUCUGUUAAAGCCUUCAGAGCACAAAACACUGAUAAGAUGGAUCUCUAACAGGUAUGCAUCAAGGAUAAAGUGGAGAUGUUCCAUUUCCAACAACCUAAAAUCAGCUGCAGUUAACUCAAAAUGGUAGUAAUUGACUCUUGUUUCUUUACUUCUACUGGAACAGGGCAGCUAAUGUAUGCGGUGGAAAUGCUGAUACUAAGAAUGUACAGUAUAUACAUAUAUACUGUGUGCAUAUGUAUGUGUGUAUACAUGUAUAUGCUAGAAUGUUGAAGUGUAGAAGUCAAUUUUUUGAAAGUUUGGGGAGAUUCAGGUACAUGGCUUGCUUUGAACUUUUGUUAAAAAUAUGGGUAUUUUGGUUAGGAAGCUAAAAGUAGACACAUUAAGACCUACAUUCUCAAUGUAGGUCAGCAGAGGCACUUCUCAGACAUAUUAGCAUUUUGGACACUUAAUUUUAGCAGCGUGUUGCAUCUCCUAGAAUAGGUUCGAGGCAAUGCAGGAGAAAUUACUGCAUCUCAAGUCAUUCAGAAAGGUUGCCAAGUUUCUCAGGAACCAGAAUGGCAGAAUAAUGAGUAUUAUAUUUAAUUCAGGAUGGGAAGGCAACCGUGGGGAGUUCACCAGAGGCAACUCAAAUCAUCUUGGCUCCAUGGGGGAGGAAGAAUUUAUAACUAUAGCUAGCUAAAAAGAAGCAAGCUGUGUGUGCAUUUGUGUGUAUAUAUAUAUAUUUAUAAAUAUGUAUAUACAAAUCUGUGCAUGUGUAUAUAACACUAUGUAUAUAUGUAUGUAUAUGUCUAUAAUGUAUAAUAUGUGUAUCUAUCAGAUAAGUAUACAUUUAUAUAAAUUUAUAUUUCUCUAUAUAGAUAGUCAUGCAACUAUGGGAAAUCAUAUUUCAAUGGUGUGCCCUUUUCUUUAAAAACCUACAAAAAGCUGCUUCCAUUAAUAUAAUAUUGAUACAAAUGUCAUAAGUUAUCUUUUCUAUGUAGCAAGGAGCGUUGCUUAGUGGUGGAGUACAAGGCUGGAAGGUUUUUACUAUGCCAGAGGACCCCAAAUAAGUCAUUAGCUGCUCCACAGCUGUUCUACAUUUGUGAAAUAAAGUGGUGGCCAAAAUUACUCAGGGCUGGCUUUAAAAGCAAAGGAAGAGUGGUGUUGACUGUUUGUGCUUUAGAAAUCUUGCAGAGUUUUGUUAGUGAAAUAACCACACUAGUAAUUAUUCUGGUUGCUGUUUUGUCUCAGCUGAUGCAAAUGGAACAGAGAAAGAAAAAAAAAAAAAGAGAUUAAUUUCCUGCUCUAAAGUAAGUUAUCUUAAGUCAGAUUACUUUGACUCAGUGAUGUAUGGAUUUCCAUUUAGGGUUAGGAUGUUAGGCUGUAAAUUAAGAAUCUUAGCUCAGUGAAUGUCUAGUUCAGGAUGUGUCUUUUAUGUUAUAAUUGAUUUUAAAUAAUUUCACUUCAUUAUCAGAAAAAGCUGUACCUUAGUUCAUGGUAAACUUAAAGGUUUUCUCAGCUGGAAAUCCAUUCAUAUCAGGGUGAAUUUUGCACUUGAGUUCAGUGGGAUUGAAUCAGAUCAGAGUGUUUCAUUAAGCGCUGACAUUAAAACAAUCUUGUAGUUGUGCAACUAUUAACUAAAAUUGUAAUUUUGUAAUAAAAGUGAGCC